rnacentral:rRNA from 1 species
GGACCCGCACAAGCGGUGGAUGAUGUGGUUUAAUUCGAUGCAACGCGAAAAACCUUACCUACCCUUGACAUGUCUGGAAUCCUGAAGAGAUUUGGGAGUGCUCGAAAGAGAGCCAGAACACAGGUGCUGCAUGGCCGUCGUCAGCUCGUGUCGUGAGAUGUUGGGUUAAGUCCCGCAACGAGCGCAACCCUUGUCAUUAGUUGCUACGAAAGGGCACUCUAAUGAGACUGCCGGUGACAAACCGGAGGAAGGUGGGGAUGACGUCAGGUCAUCAUGGCCCUUAUGGGUAGGGCUACACACGUCAUACAAUGGCCGGUACAGAGGGCUGCCAACCCGCGAGGGGGAGCUAAUCUCAGAAAACCGGUCGUAGUCCGGAUCGCAGUCUGCAACUCGACUGCGUGAAGUCGGAAUCGCUAGUAAUCGCGGAUCAGCUUGCCGCGGUGAAUACGUUCCCGGGUCUU